rnacentral:rRNA from 1 species
UUCGAUCAUGUCAAGUUGACACUGGCGGGAUCUUUGCACGCUCUCGAGCAGCAGCACGGUUCGGUCUGGUGGCGAGUGGCAACAGGUAGGUAAUGUAUCGGAACGUGCCUAAUAGCAGGGGAUAUACGCGGCGUAGCUGGCCUACGCCGCCCUUCGGGGAAAGCGGGGACCUUCGGGCCUCGCACUAUUAAAGCGGCAAAUAUCGGAUUAGCUAGUUGGUGGGGUAACGGCUCACCAAGGCAUGAUCCGCUGGCUGGUUUAAGAGGACGACCAGCCACACUGGGACUGAGACACGGUAGCCCAGACUCCUACGGGAGGCAGCAGUGGGGAAUUUGGACAAUGGGGGAAACCCUACGUUCCAGCCAUCCCGCGUGUGCGAUGAAGGCCUUCAGGUUGUCAGCACUUUUGGCAGAAAGAAACGGCACGGGAUGUACACGUGCAACUGACAGUACCUGCGAAUCAUACCGGCUAACUACGUGCCAGCAGCCGCGAUGUACGUAGGAGUGCAAGCGUUAAUCGGAAUUACUGGGCGUAAAGCGUGCGCAGGCGGUUCGGAAAGAAGAUGCGUAAAUCCCAGAGCUUAACUUUGGAACUGCAUUUUUAAUACGAAGCUAGAGUGUGUCAGAGGAGGUGGAAUUCCGCGUGUAGUGAAAUGCGUAGAUAUGCGGAGGAACACCGAUAGCGAAGGCAGCCUCCUGGGAUAACAUGACGCUCAUGCACGGCGUAGGAGCGACGGGAUUAGAUGCCUGGUAGUCCCUUUCUUGAUGUCAACUAGCUGUUGGGGCCUUCGGGCCUUGGUAGCGCAGCUAACGCGUGAGUUGACCGCCUGGGGAGUACGGUCGCAAGAUUAAAACUCAAGGAAUUGACGGGGACCCGCACAAGCAGUGGAUGAUGUGGAUUAAAUUCGGUGCUUAUGAAAAACCUUACCUACCCUUGACAUGUCUGGAAUCCCGAAGAGAUUUGGGAGUGUCGCAGAAGAACAGUUGGGUGCUGCAUAGCUGCCGUCAGCUCGAUAUCGUGAGAUGUUGGGUUAAGUCCCGCAACGAGCGCAACCCUUGUCAUUAGUUGCUACGAAAGGGCACUCUAAUGAGACUGCCGGUGAUAAACCAGGAAGGUGGGGAUGACGUCAAGUCCUCAUGGCCCUUAUGGGUAGGGCUUCACGAUAUACAAUGGUCGGGACAGAGGGUCGCCAACCCCUGAGGGGGAGCCAAUCCCAGAAACCCGAUCGUAGUCCGGAUCGCAGUCAUCGACUGCGUGAAGUCGGAAUCGCUAGUAAUCAUGGUCAACGCCUCGCGGUGAAUACGUUCCGGGUCUUGUACACACCGCCCGUGCACCAUGGGAGCUGGGUUUUACCAGAAGUAGUUAGCCUAACUUAAGGAGGCGAUUACCACGGUAGGAUUCAUGACUGGGGUGAAGUCAUGUGGUAG